GUGUUGACAAUUUGGCUGCGACACUUGUCACCCCAUUGAUUGCCAGGGUUGAUUUGACUGGUCUAGCUGGCUGGGCUGGUGUCCCCAUCCUCCCUCACUCCAUGUGCAUCUCUUCUGAAGCUGCAUGCUCGGUUGAAAAGGACAAUCUUCCCUGAUUGAGACAUACCGUUCAUGGGUAAAGGUUGUAUGGUAGCUGCGCUCCCCUGCUAGAACCUCCAAAUAUGCUCAAAAAAUAAGAGAACUGUAAGAUCACCUGCUGCAUUUUCAAGUACUUUUUGUCAAGCGGAUCCUAGCAUGGAAAU
rnacentral:snRNA from 1 species